CAAGUCACUGCUACAGGCAGAAGGAAACACCUCCAAGAUGUAGAAGAGACCCUGUCUCAUGUCACACACUGGGUAGUCCAUCCUUGACUGUGAGGGAUUGUGAGACCUUCCCAGCAGAGCCCAGCCAGCCUGGACAUGUGCUCUGUGCCAACAUGACAUGGCUUGACAAGUGUCUGCACUGGACUAUAGUACUGCCACUAUACAACUCUGCAGGACUUUGCUUUUAUAACCCUCCACCAACCUCCAACUUAUGGGUGAGCUGUGCUGAGAUCACCAUGCAGGCACAUUUCUGAUCCAACCAGUUCUGGAGCUGAAGUUACCAAAAAGGGCAGACCAGCUUACUUUCACCUCUUGAGCAAGUGAGAGACAUAGGAAGAAAAAGCUUCCUCAAGAUAACAGCAGAAGCUUGAGUACGUGCACUCAGUGGAUCAAAACAUGAAGCUUAGCUGACAGCAUUUCCUUCUCCAUCCACAACACUGGUAUCCUCUGCCUGAUAUUUCCAAGGAGGAACAGUUCUCUGGUGGGAACUUCAAGAGCUCUGAGCAGGGGGAUCACCCCUUUCCUCAGUCUGCCACUGCAGCCCAGCCAGCCUGCACACUGUGGGGCACUGCCCGUGCCCAUUGCUGCCCUGCCCAGACUUGCUGAGGGUGCACUGUGUCCCACUGCCCAGGCCACUGGGAAGGGUGCUCUGUUCCAGGAGCUUCCUCUGAGAAAUGUCACGCAAGACUUGUUGCUAGCCAGGCUGUGAGUUUCUCCUGAGCAUCUCUUGGAGUUUCUCAGCCUACCCUGUGGUUCACAAAGCCUGUCCACAUUUUUAGUUUGUUUGCAAGAGUUCUGCACAUCAAAAACCUUGAAAAUUUCAAGGUAUACUUUACUAUUCUUAAUCUUGACAUUUGUUCUUUUAUACAUUUUUACUUUUAAAAACACCUGAAUACUUAAAAAUGCAAAUUAAGCUUACUUGGGAAAAUAAAAAAUAAAAGCUAGUUCA
rnacentral:lncRNA from 1 species